rnacentral:rRNA from 1 species
GACGAACGCUUGCGGCGUGCUUAACACAUGCAAGUCGAACGGAAAGGCCCUGCUUUUGUGGGGUGCUCGAGUGGCGAACGGGUGAGUAACACGUGAGUAACCUGCCCUUGACUUUGGGAUAACUUCAGGAAACUGGGGCUAAUACCGGAUAGGAGCUCCUGCUGCAUGGUGGGGGUUGGAAAGUUUCGGCGGUUGGGGAUGGACUCGCGGCUUAUCAGCUUGUUGGUGGGGUAGUGGCUUACCAAGGCUUUGACGGGUAGCCGGCCUGAGAGGGUGACCGGCCACAUUGGGACUGAGAUACGGCCCAGACUCCUACGGGAGGCAGCAGUGGGGAAUAUUGCACAAUGGGCGGAAGCCUGAUGCAGCAACGCCGCGUGCGGGAUGACGGCCUUCGGGUUGUAAACCGCUUUCGCCUGUGACGAAGCGUGAGUGACGGUAAUGGGUAAAGAAGCACCGGCUAACUACGUGCCAGCAGCCGCGGUGAUACGUAGGGUGCGAGCGUUGUCCGGAUUUAUUGGGCGUAAAGGGCUCGUAGGUGGUUGAUCGCGUCGGAAGUGUAAUCUUGGGGCUUAACCCUGAGCGUGCUUUCGAUACGGGUUGACUUGAGGAAGGUAGGGGAGAAUGGAAUUCCUGGUGGAGCGGUGGAAUGCGCAGAUAUCAGGAGGACCACCAGUGGCGAAGGCGGUUCUCUGGGCCUUUCCUGACGCUGAGGAGCGAAAGCGUGGGGAGCGAACAGGCUUAGAUACCCUGGUAGUCCACGCUGUAAACGGUGGGUACUAGGUGUGGGGUCCAUUCCACGGGUUCCGUGCCGUAGCUAACGCUUUAAGUACCCCGCCUGGGGAGUACGGCCGCAAGGCUAAAACUCAAAGGAAUUGACGGGGCCCCGCACAAGCGGCGGAGCAUGCGGAUUAAUUCGAUGCAACGCGUAGAACCUUACCUGGGUUUGACAUGGAUCGGGAGUGCUCAGAGAUGGGUGUGCCUCUUUUGGGGUCGGUUCACAGGUGGUGCAUGCCUGUCGUCAGCUCGUGUCGUGAGAUGUUGGGUUAAGUCCCGCAACGAGCGCAACCCUUGUUCACUGUUGCCAGCACGUUAUGGUGGGGACUCAGUGGAGACCGCCGGGGUCAACUCGGAGGAAGGUGGGGAUGACGUCAAGUCAUCAUGCCCCUUAUGUCCAGGGCUUCACGCAUGCUACAAUGGCUGGUACAGAGAGUGGCGAGCCUGUGAGGGUGAGCGAAUCUCGGAAAGCCGGUCUCAGUUCGGAUCGGGGUCUGCAACUCGACCUCAUGAAGUCGGAGUCGCUAGUAAUCGCAGAUCAGCAACGCUGCGGUGAAUACGUUCCCGGG